AGACCGUUACUUACGAGUGUUCUCUCGCUCACAUCAGCUCAUCCUCGAGGAAGAGGCUCGUCGGGCUUUGCUUUGUCGCAACAGCUUCGGCUACAUGGUUCUUCUCGAAGCGUCUCUCAAAGAAGAGAGAGAGAGAGAGAGAUACAUAUAUAGAGAAUUUCGGCGAUCGGCCGUGAUCUGUCUGUUAUCAGUGACCGAUUGUAUUUAUUUGGAGUGUCAUUGCAUAAUCCGAGGGAUAUGAGUCCCGUGAUACUUUGAAUCAAGCUAUAAAUAUAAUGACGAUCUGGCAGUGCCUCAGAAGACGACGAGGGCGAUAGCGACGACGUCGACGGCGAUCCGGCGCUGCAUUUUUCCCACCGUAUGAGAUCGCCUCUCCUCGCUCUAAUAUUAACACCGCUGACGUCACGCGAGAUGGAUCGGGCGAUUUUUAAGCCGGCGGUUCAAUCUCUUUCAAGUGGAAAACUCGCGGAGGAGCGGCGAUCGCCGGCCCGAAGGUCGUCGCGCGCAUGCGCGCGUGGCUCGCGCUAAUAAUUCGUCCUUUAUCUCACUGGUAACGUCCCGACGGGUGAUGGGACUGCAUUAAAUGAAAUCUCCUGUAGUUAACACGUGUGAGAUGAAGAAUGUCUCGCCGAUAGGAAAAAACCGACGUUGGUGCCUUUUUAUUUUGAGGGAAGAAGAAGGAAGAGGGGGAGAGGAGGUGUCGAAAGAGACUCGGACGUCUUCUUGAAAGAACGCAUUCGGUUCGUUCCAAUUGGAGAAUCUAUCUUCGGAGGAUCACGAGAAACCUAUUCUCUCGCUGUAUACCGUAUGCGUUGCGAAACUCAUCGGAAAGUCGGUUCGUCAGUUUGCUUUUGAAUGUGCGCCAGUGCCGCCGGUUUCGCAAGUUUCCUCAUUAUUAGACGAUCCAAUUCCUUUUUCUUCUCCGAAUUCAAUCUCUUCCCGCCCCCUGCAAAUUUUUCCACGUCGAACCGAUGUAAAAUGUCACGCGUGGAGUCGACUUAAAAGACCACGACACACGUCGCACACGCGCUGUUUACGCGCGCCUUCCACCGCCGCACUCCGGUCGCCCGCGGCGAGCUUCUGGCGUCACCCGAUAGAUUUUAUUUCGGUUACCUCAUCGGUUGCGAAUUAACGUCAGGAUGAUCCCCGAUACGCGGGCGCGUUUUGCGCGCGGUACGCCGCUCUGGCGCGCCUCCAACGGGGAGAUAUCGGAGCGGCGGCGGCGGUUCUUAUCGAACCCUCGACGAUCCAUAUUCGUGCGAUGCGAUUGACGAACGAGCUAAUUCUCUCGGCCGAUCACGCCGGGGUUCGUAAAAGUCACCUUUCACCCCGGAGAAAAAAAAUGAUUACACGUAAUCCUCGAUAAUUAUUAUAAAAAUAUACAUUAUGAUCAAAUUGUCGAAAUUAAUAUUUUUUUUUCAUACAAAGAGUUUCAUGUAAUUAUAGACAAAUUAUAUAUAAGAAUGUAUGCCUUUGUGUGACCAGACACAUAUAUAAUUAUUGUAUGUAAUUAUGUGUGUUAACACGGCGAAAGAAUGUUGUUGAAUGAAAAGAGAAAACAAGUAGUUUCAUUCAACUGAACACCGAUAUCACGGGUUGCCACAAACACAAGCGGAUACUUCAAUUGUAUUUGUACACCGAAAGAAAGGUCAGUUCACACCAAUGGAAUUCCGUCUUUUCCGUGUAUGACAGCAUUCUUUUUCCACGUGGGCAUAUAUACACUCAGAAAAAAAUAUAAUAGUCGUGACAGCUAUAAGAAUGAUAUAACUAUGCGAAUUUUGUACGCAGAAUUGAUGCGAAUAGUAUAACAAAUUAUUUCACAAUAAUCGCAACUAAAUGCUGAAUGAUAUAGCACAGUACAAACCAUAGUUCUCCAUAA